rnacentral:rRNA from 1 species
AUUGAACGCUGGCGGCAGGCCUAACACAUGCAAGUCGAACGAGUGGCGGACGGGUGAGUAAUGUCUGGGAAACUGCCUGCUGGAGGGGGAUAACUACUGGAAACGGUAGCUAAUACAGCAUACCAUCAGAUGUGCCCAGAUGGGAUUAGCUUGGUGGUGGGGUAACGGCUCACCAAGGCGACGAUCACUAGCUGGUCUGAGAGGAGGACCAGCAACACUGGAACGUAGACACGGUCCAGACUCCGACGGGAGGCAGCAGAGGGGAAUAUUGCACAAUGGGCGCAAGCCUGAUGCAGCCAUGCCGCGGGUAUGAAGAAGGCCUUCGGGUUGUAAAGUACUUUCAGCGGGGAGGCGUUACCCGCAGAAGAAGCACCGGCUAACUCCGUGCCAGCAGCCGCGGUAAUAC